rnacentral:rRNA from 1 species
CCCUUAGAUGUUCUGGGCCGCACGCGUGCUACACUGAGUAAAUCAAUGGGUAAGGGAACACGAAAGUGCAACCUAAUCUUGAAAUUUGCUCGUGAUGGGGAUCGACGGUUGCAAUUUUCCGUCGUGAACGAGGAAUACCUUGUAGGCGCGUGUCAUCAUCACGCGCCGAAUACGUCCCUGCCCUUUGUACACACCGCCCGUCGCUCCUACCGAUUGAGUGAUCCGGUGAGGCUCUGGGACCUGGACGGAAAGAGCGUUUCGCUUGUUCUGUUUGGGAAACUUGGUCGAACCUUAUCAUUUAGAGGAAGGAGAAGUCGCAACA